GAUUAACGCUGGCGGCGUGCCUAACACAUGCAAGUCGAGCGGCAGCGAGUUUUACACUGAAUUCUGGAAGCUUCUAGUUGAAAGAGAAGAUUUAUUCAAGAAUUUUGUGUAAAAUGUCGGCGAGCGGCGGACGGCUGAGUAACGCGUGGGAACGUACCCCAAAGUGAGGGAUAACGCAUCGAAAGGUGUGCUAAUACCGCAUAUGGUCUUCGGAUUAAAGCCUUCGGGCGCUUUGGGAACGGCCUGCGUAAGAUUAGAUAGUUGGUGGGGUAAUGGCCUACCAAGUCAAGAGUCUUUACUGGGUGUGAGGGAAUGAGCAGACAGAGUGAAACAGAGACACGGCCCAGCCACCUAGGGGAGGAAGCAGGGAGGAAUCUUCCAAAAGGGGAGAAAGCUGGAGGGAGCAACGCCGCGUGAAGGUGAAGGGCUUUGGGUUUGAAAACUGCUUUUAUAAGGGAGAUUUAGAACAUAAACUUAGAAAAAGGGUUGGGCAAAGUCCGGC
rnacentral:rRNA from 1 species